rnacentral:rRNA from 1 species
CUGAGAGGGCGACCGGCCACAUUGGGACUGAGAUACGGCCCAGUACUCCUACGGGAGGCAGCAGUGGGGAAUAUUGCACAAUGGGCGCAAGCCUGAUGCAGCGACGCCGCGUGAGGGAUGGAGGCCUUCGGGUUGUAAACCUCCUUUUAUCGGGGAGCAAGCGAGAGUGAGUUACCCGUUGAAUAAGCACCGGCUAACUACGUGC